ACAACAACAUUUGAACCGUCGGUCUACCGAGCAAUAUUACCCGCUCGGUGGAAGAUCUUCCCUUUGUCGUUAAAA
rnacentral:pre_miRNA from 1 species